rnacentral:rRNA from 1 species
GGGGUUUGUCACGAGCCCCGAUAUAAAGGCUGGAGGGAGGGCCUAACCACAACCAAUUCGACGAGAUGAAGGGAACUUUCUCCUGGAUUCCACCGCGGGACGGGUGAGUAAUUCCCUAGGAAUUGGCCUUGGUAGUGGGGAAAAACGUCCGAGAACGGGCGCUAAACCGGCAAACGUCCUGAGGGAGAAAGGGGGGGGAUCUUCGGACCCCACGCUUUCAGAUGAGCCUAGGUCGGAUUAGCAAGUUGGUUGGGUAAAGGCCCUCCAAGGCGACGAAUCCGUACUUGGUCUAAAAGAAUGAUCAGUCACACUGGAACUAAGACACGGUCCAGCCUCCUACGGGAGGCAGCAGUGGGGAAUAUUGGACAAUGGGCGAAAGCCUGAUCCAGCCAUGCCGCGUGUGUGAAGAAGGUCUUCGGAUUGUAAAGCACUUUAAGUUGGGAGGAAGGGCAGUAAGUUAAUACCUUGCUGUUUUGACGUUACCAACAGAAUAAGCACCGGCUAACUUCGUGCCAGCAGCCGCGGUAAUACGAAGGGUGCAAGCGUUAAUCGGAAUUACUGGGCGUAAAGCGCGCGUAGGUGGUUCAGCAAGUUGGAUGUGAAAUCCCCGGGCUCAACCUGGGAACUGCAUCCAAAACUACUGAGCUAGAGUACGGUAGAGGGUGGUGGAAUUUCCUGUGUAGCGGUGAAAUGCGUAGAUAUAGGAAGGAACACCAGUGGCGAAGGCGACCACCUGGACUGAUACUGACACUGAGGUGCGAAAGCGUGGGAAGCAAACAGGACUAGAUACCCUGGUAGUCCACGGGGUAACCAAGGGAUCCUCAUAGUUCUAGAGCGGAAGCCACCGCGGUGGAGCUGCAGCUUUUGCUCACUUAGGANGAUUAUACAAAGGUCUCAGUCACUG